rnacentral:rRNA from 1 species
GACGAACGCUGGCGGCGUGCCUAAUACAUGCCAGUCGAACGAGAGCGACCGGUGCUUGCACUGGUCAAUCUAGUGGCGAACGGGUGAGUAACACGUGGGUAACCUGCCCAUCAGAGGGGGAUAACAUCCGGAAACGGAUGCUAAAACCGCAUAGGUCUUCGAACCGCAUGGUUUGAAGAGGAAAAGAGGCGCAAGCUUCUGCUGAUGGAUGGACCCGCGGUGCAUUAGCUAGUUGGUGAGGUAACGGCUCACCAAGGCCGUGAUGCAUAGCCGACCUGAGAGGGUGAUCGGCCACAUUGGGACUGAGACACGGCCCAAACUCCUACGGGAGGCAGCAGUAGGGAAGCUUCCGCAAUGGACGCAAGUCUGACGGAGCAACGCCGCGUGAGUGAAGAAGGUUUUCGGAUCGUAAAACUCUGUUGUUAGAGAAGAACAAGUGCUAGAGUAACUGUUAGCGCCUUGACGGUAUCUAACCAGAAAGCCACGGCUAACUACGUG